AUCUACAGCCAUGCUACCCUGAACAAGCCCGAUCCCAUCUGAUCUUGGAAGCUAAGCAGGGUUGGGACUGGUAGUACUUUGAUGGGAGACCACCUAGGAAGACCAGGUGCUGUAGGUA
rnacentral:rRNA from 1 species